rnacentral:rRNA from 1 species
UACGUAGGUGGCAAGCGUUGUCCGGAUUUACUGGGCGUAAAGAGCGCGCAGGCGGUCGUACAAGUCGCGUGUGAAAGCCCCCGGCUCAACUGGGGAGGGUCACGCGAUACUGUUCGACUCGAAGGCAGGAGAGGGAAGCAGAAUUCCCGGUGUAGUGGUGAAAUGCGUAGAUAUCGGGAGAAAUACCAGUGGCGAAGGCGG